rnacentral:lncRNA from 1 species
UUAGCCAAUAAGUUUCCGUUCCCGAACAUUCCUUCCUGCAAAAGGUAUUUAAUCUCAGGCCACCCUGGGUAAGUUGUAUGUACUAUUUUCAUCAUGAAUACACAGUUUAGAUAGCAUUCUCUCAUCAAGAAGCGCUAUGGCGGGAAGCCAGUCAAGCAGAGCCAACCACCUAAGUCUGCAACAGAAGGCCCUCCACACACUGGACUCUCACUCUCAAGCUAAGCUGUAUUCCCUCCCCCCAUCGCCAGCUCACGAGUCCUCCCCUCGUUCGCACAAUCUGACUUGUGGCAUGGGUGAUUAUGGCUAGACAGCGUGUGAGACUGCAGUUCACACUCCUAGAUACCCACUGUUGGGAACUACUCCUUCAUUCCCAGCGGUGUCUGUCCAGGGUAUGCGAGCCCAAAUCCUGGGGUGUUUCUCACCUGGGCUGGGGUCCCUAUCUUAGCACCACCAUGGUGGACAGUGUGGUGGAACCAGCUGGUAUUGUGCUCACAUUGCCAUGUAUGAGAGGCACCACUGGGAGCAACAGUACUUAUCUGCAGUGCCAGCACUCUGGAGACGGAGCAGUUCAAGGUCACCCAUGGUUCCAUAGGGACUCCAUGUUGACUCAUCCCCCAAUCUCCAAGUCAGUAUUGACACUCCCGGGAAAUUGAAGGCAGCUGAGAAUAGAUUAUAAAACCACAUACAGGCAGACAUGGUGGGUCACACCUUUAAGCACAGUAUUCAGGAGGCAGACUGAUGUCUCUGAGUUCAAGGCCAGCCAGGGAUACACAGUGAGCCCUUGUUUCAAAAAACAAAACAAAGGAAAAAAGAAAAAGAAAAA